rnacentral:rRNA from 1 species
UACGAAGGGUGCAAACGUUGCUCGGAAUCAUUGGGCGUAAAGCGCACGUAGGCGGCCUUGCAAGUCGGAUGUGAAAUCCCACGGCUCAACCGUGGACGUGCAUCCGAAACUGCUCGGCUCGAGUAUGGAAGAGGGUCGCGGAAUUCCCGGUGUAGGGGUGAAAUUCGUAGAUAUCGGGAGGAACACCAGUGGCGAAGGCGGCGACCUGGGCCAAUACUGACGCUGAGGUGCGAAAGCGUGGGGAGCAAACAGG